AUGGAAAAUAAGAGUGAGAAAAUGGGAAUUGUUGCGCAUGGAGAUGAAAGAGAGAGAGACAGGAAGCCUUGUAGCCCGGGAAAUUUUGCCGUUGAAGCGUUCGUUAACCAAACCAAUCUCUGCCAACAAACCAGUACCUUUGUGUUCUUACUAUUAUUGAUUCUUUUUCUUCCUUGUCUUUUUUAUUAUUGUUUUUUUUUUGUCUGUGUGUGUUUUUUUUUACAUUACUACGUGUUAAUCGCAAUCAGGUCCGGUUUCAACUCAAAAAUAUUCGGAUCGUCACUCAAUUACACUCACAAACUGGUCCUUUUAUUUAAC